rnacentral:rRNA from 1 species
CAGGCCUAACACAUGCAAGUCGAGGGGCAGCGGGUUAUUUAUUUAGGUACUCCUGCCGGCGACCGGCGCACGGGUGCGUAACGCGUAUGCACCUACCCAUAACAGGGGGAUAAUCUGAAGAAAUUUGGUCUAACACCCCAUAACAUCUUUAUGGCAUCUUUGAUGGUUGAAAUAUCCGAUAGGUUAUGAUGGGCAUGCGUGACAUUAGUUAGAUGGUGAGGUAACGGCUCACCAUGGCUAUGAUGUCUAGGGGGACUGAGAGGUUAUCCCCCACACUGGUACUGAGACACGGACCAGACUCCUACGGGAGGCAGCAGUGAGGAAUAUUGGUCAAUGGACGAAAGUCUGAACCAGCCAUGCCGCGUGCAGGAUGACGGCUCUAUGAGUUGUAAACUGCUUUUGUAAGAGGGUGAAAGUUGGUACGUGUACCAAUUUGCAAGUACUUUACGAAUAAGGAUCGGCUAACUCCGUGCCAGCAGCCGCGGUAAUACGGAGGACCCAAGCGUUAUCCGGAUUUAUUGGGUUUAAAGGGUGCGUAGGCGGACUAAUAAGUCAGAGGUUAAAGUGCGAUGCUCAACUCGACAACUGCCAUUGAAACUAGAAAUGUAAAGAAUAGUUGCAGCAGGCGGAAUGUGUAGUGUAGCGGUGAAAUGCUUAGAUAUUACACAGAACACCGAUUGCGAAGGCAGCUUGCUAAGCCAUUACUGACGCUGAUGCACGAAAGCGUGGGGAGCAAACAGGAUUAGAUACCCUGGUAGUCCACGCCGUAAACGAUGAUAACUCGUUGCAGGCGAUACACGGUCUGUGACUAAGCGAAAGCGUUAAGUUAUCCACCUGGGGAGUACGACCGCAAGGUUGAAACUCAAAGGAAUUGACGGGGGCCCGCACAAGCGGAGGAACAUGUGGUUUAAUUCGAUGAUACGCGAGGAACCUUACCCGGGCUUGAAAGUUAGCGACCGACCCAGAAACGGGUCUUCUCUUCGGGGCGCGAAACUAGGUGCUGCAUGGUUGUCGUCAGCUCGUGCCGUGAGGUGUCGGGUUAAGUCCCAUAACGAGCGCAACCCCUACUGAUAGUUGCCAGCGAGUAAUGUCGGGGACUCUAUCGGGACUGCCAGUGUAAACUGCGAGGAAGGUGGGGAUGACGUCAAAUCAGCACGGCCCUUACGUCCGGGGCUACACACGUGUUACAAUGGUCAGUACAGCGGGUAGCUACC